rnacentral:lncRNA from 1 species
GGAAGGAAGGAGUAGAACACUCAGAGUUUUAUUUCUGGGGAAACUUUCUCUGCUGAAGAGAAGGCUAAGGACAGAAAAGAAACACUCAUCAGGCGUUUGUCACUGAUGCAAUGGAUGAGAUGAGAAUUGGGGCCUCAGUUAGGGCAGGAAAAAGUCAGGUUUCAUCUAAAGAAGAGCUCACCUACAAGAGUCAUUGCAUAGUGCCGGGACAGUCAGAAGAUCAAGAUGGACCUUCCAUCCUGGAAUGGAACUGCUACAGGGAACGACUGGGCAUGCCUCACCUCCUGGAGCCAUGCUGGUGGCCUGCAUGUAUCAUGGGAAUUUCUCAGAAUGGCCUAGCCUUGGCAACGGGUUGAGACAGGGGAGUUUGAAGCUUGUUUUAGGAUUCUCCCUUCACCAAAAACCUUUCUAGCCACCCACCCUGUGCUCCAUUCUUCUGGGACUUCUCUAUCAGUAUUUUGCCUUCCCAACUAAGGGGUGGUUGAGAGUCAAUGAAAAAAUAUUUAUUGAGCCUACUAUUUGUCCAGCAAGUAUAAAUAGUCCAUUCAUGUUACUCCUUAUGCCUCGGCUGCCAGAAAAACAAAGGUCAAAUUUAUUGCUAAAAUAGAAGCAGAACAUUCUCCAUGUCUGAAACCAUCAUUCCUUCUGGUUCUUUCAGAUGGAUUCCAUUUAAACUGAUCCCAGACUGUAUCCUUCUUUAGAGGCACCUUGAAUGAUAUCAAAAUGGCCCCGGCUCUGUCCAUUACCAGGAAGAGGACAUUGGCUACAGCUCAUCCCUUUACAGAAGGAGGCUGGAGGCAUAAAGAAGAUAAGCGUCUGUCCAAGGUCACCGAGCAAGUUAGGGGCACACGGGAAGAGGAUUAGACCCCCUGAUUUGUAAUCUUGUUCUCCUUCCACUGCACUUCACUUUUUGAAACCGAUUGUCAAUGCGCUAUAGCAGGCUUAAGUCCAAAUUAACGGAAUCUUCAAUGGAUAGAAUUCUUCAGCAGGCUGAGAUCAAAAGGAAAAAGAAGGAGCCUUUUUAGCCCCGCCUACCCAAGAUCAACAAAAGAUUCUGGCGCAAAAUGAUGAACGUGACCUUGCCUCAGAGUCUUUCCAUAGAGAAGACCUAGGCGCCUGGGGUGGGUAAAGGACCCUCGGGCUCUCGGCGCCCGUGGACAUCACAGAGGGAGGGCGCCAUAACGCAGUUGCCAUUUUCCUGCAUGUGUUUGAAAUCUGGACUGACAAGACGAGCUGGAUAAUUUUGCUCAGCAUUGUCUUUUGACUUCCUACCAAGGAAAGUGAGACUGUGGAGCAUAGUAACUGAGAGUACGGACUCUGGAGAGCAAUCACGGAGAUGAAGAAACUGAGGCCUUGAGAGUUAACGUAAUUGACCAGGGGCACAUAGAGCCGUGAUUCACACCUAGGCCUGCUGAUCCUAGAGUCCAUCUGCUUGAUCAUAAUCCUCAUAUUCCAAAGUAUUAAGAGAAUGGCUAUCAUCAUCAAAGAGACAAAAAGAUAAGUGUUGGUGAGGAUGUGGAGAAAG